CAGGAUUUAGACAGGGGCUAGAGGGACCUUCAGCCAACUCCAGAGAGUAUCUCUGGCCAGGAGCCUUCAGUUGCCCCUUCAGCUUGACCUAAGCUUGAGAUGGUGCUGAAUGAAAACUCAGCAGGAAAAGAAAGCGCACCGGGGGACGCCUCAAUCACGCAGGCUCUGGGACGCGUGAGAGUCGUUCCGCAAGCCAGCCUUUGUCGGGAGGACACGGCAACUAGCAGUCAAAAAGAUCUGACUGUGAUAACCCCUUUGUCUUUGAUGGUGGACCAUUGGACGGAUGUUAGGGCAAGGGGAUACUCUGGAAUUCUGUUGGGAGGUAAAAUCAGAUGGUUCUAAGAAACUUAAUCUUAUGGACCCCGCUCUAGUGGCGGUGUGUUGGUUGAUAGCCAAAGUUAAUUUUUAAAACAGUGUUUUAUCUGUGCUUGUGCUCGCAGCCAGCUGUGAUAAGCUGGGGAAGAUUUAAAUUUUGCUUGGGAGUAAGGAAUCUUAAAGGCGGAGUUUCAGCCGGUUUGACACUUAGUGCGUAGCUGCCUAAAAGAUCAGAAAUGCUGUCAACAGGCUAUAAAAAAAAGGACAGGCUGUGUUAGAAAUGCUACGGGUAGGAAGAAUGAUCUAAAAAGACUGAGAGCUAGGUGGGAGAGGAGUAUAAGGAACACAAGAACAAGAAAGGAAUUUCUGACAUUUGCUCACAGAAGGAGAGUGCUUAUUUAGAGAAGUUCUUUAAGGAAGCCUGCCUUAUCUGCUGUCUUUAUUCCAAGGGAGGAGUCAGUCUCCAGCACUAAAUUACUUUUCUCGUUGGUCAUCAUUAACAUGGAGAGUGCCUUUGGUCCUAUUCCCACAGCAGCCAGUUCCUGCCCCAAUGGUCAAAAUGCCCCAGGUUGGGGGACAUAAAGAGCCCCUAAAAUAGUUUCAAAGAAUCUACAACAAGCUGUAAAGAACUUUGUUUUGUUGUGCCAGUCUAAAUUUAGAAUUCAGGCUUUGGCGAUGGCCAAGGUCAGGAUUAAUGUUUUCUUUUCCAUGGGCCUUUUAAACCCAGUGAGACAGUUUGGUAAAGGGCUACUACUGAAGUCCUGAUAGCCCCAGGUGAACUGGUUACGAUUCUUUUGUCAGCCACCUGGUAUCUAGCAACCAGGUUCUAACCAUCUCUCCAUCCUUUUGUUAUUAGUUGUUACUAAAAGCCUAGUGUCAUUUGGAGGCUAGUUCUCUUGAGAGACAAAGCCACGGAGCUGACACUGAAGAGAGAUGCUCCUUGAGGGAAAAUCUAAGUCUAGAGAGAUAGUCGAUAACAGAUCGGCUGCCUCUCUGCUCACCUUUCUGUUUCAUAGACAAAGCUUGUGCUUAUUUGUACAAUGGCCUUUUCAUUCCAAGAAAGGCCUCCUGGUUUAGCUGUGUGAGUAAAUGCUGUUUGCCCUCUUCGGUAGACCUCUAUUCUCAAGAUUCUCUUGUUUUCUCACCAUCCCAUUUGAGAUGC
ensembl:lncRNA